rnacentral:rRNA from 1 species
GAUUAAAGCACCUUCGGGUGUGUAUAAAGUGGCGAACGGCUGAGUAACACGUGGGCAACCUGCCCCUCUCAUUGGGAUAGCCACGGGAAACCGUGGAUAAUACCGAAUACUUCGAGACUCCCGCAUGGAAGACUCGAGAAAGCUCCGGCGGAGAGGGAUGGGCCCGCGGCCUGUUAGCUUGUUGGUGGGGUAACGGCCUACCAAGGCAAUGAUGGGUAGCUGGGUUGAGAGACCGACCAGCCAGAUUGGGACUGAGACACGGCCCAGACUCCUACGGGAGGCAGCAGUGGGGAAUCUUGCACAAUGGGCGAAAGCCUGAUGCAGCGACGCCGCGUGCGGGAUGAAGGCCCUCGGGUUGUAAACCGCUUUCAGCAGGGACGAGGCGAAAGUGACGGUACCUGCAGAAGAAGCCCCGGCUAACUACGUGCCAGCAGCCGCGGUAAUACGUAGGGGGCAAGCGUUAUCCGGAUUCAUUGGGCGUAAAGCGCUCGUAGGCGGUCUGUUAGGUCGGGAGUUAAAUCCGGGGGCUCAACCCCCGUUCGCUCCCGAUACCGGCAGACUUGAGUUUGGUAGGGGAAGGUGGAAUUCCUAGUGUAGUGGUGGAAUGCGCAGAUAUUAGGAAGAACACCAGUGGCGAAGGCGGCCUUCUGGGCCAUAACUGACGCUGAGGAGCGAAAGCUAGGGGAGCAAACAGGACUAGAUACCCUGGUAGUCCUAGCCGUAAACGAUGGACACUAGGUGUGGGGGAAUAUUUCCUCCGCGCCGCAGCUAACGCAUUAAGUGUCCCGCCUGGGG